rnacentral:rRNA from 1 species
AGAGUUUGAUCCUGGCUCAGGAUGAACGCUAGCGGCAGGCUUAACACAUGCAAGUCGAGGGGCAGCAUAAUGGAUAGCAAUAUCUAUGGUGGCGACCGGCGCACGGGUGCGUAACGCGUAUGCAACCUACCUUUAACAGGGGGAUAACACUGAGAAAUUGGUACUAAUACCCCAUAAUAUCAUAGAAGGCAUCUUUUAUGGUUGAAAAUUCCGAUGGUUAGAGAUGGGCAUGCGUUGUAUUAGCUAGUUGGUGGGGUAACGGCUCACCAAGGCGACGAUACAUAGGGGGACUGAGAGGUUAACCCCCCACACUGGUACUGAGACACGGACCAGACUCCUACGGGAGGCAGCAGUGAGGAAUAUUGGUCAAUGGACGCAAGUCUGAACCAGCCAUGCCGCGUGCAGGAAGACGGCUCUAUGAGUUGUAAACUGCUUUUGUACGAGAGUAAACGCUCUUACGUGUAAGAGCCUGAAAGUAUCGUACGAAUAAGGAUCGGCUAACUCCGUGCCAGCAGCCGCGGUAAUACGGAGGAUCCAAGCGUUAUCCGGAUUUAUUGGGUUUAAAGGGUGCGUAGGCGGUUUGAUAAGUUAGAGGUGAAAUACCGGUGCUUAACACCGGAACUGCCUCUAAUACUGUUGAACUAGAGAGUAGUUGCGGUAGGCGGAAUGUAUGGUGUAGCGGUGAAAUGCUUAGAGAUCAUACAGAACACCGAUUGCGAAGGCAGCUUACCAAACUAUAUCUGACGUUGAGGCACGAAAGCGUGGGGAGCAAACAGGAUUAGAUACCCUGGUAGUCCACGCAGUAAACGAUGAUAACUC